CAUAUAUAUAAUCUACUGCCAGUUAUGCAAGAUAACGCAACAGCGUACAAAUUAACAAACAACAUCAAACAAAGUUAUACAUUUUAUUUGAAUCGUUUUAAUUGUUUAAAAUAAGAAAACAAAUGGCUGAAUACAUUUUGGGAAGAUAUGUUUUUCAAAUGUAAUGUGUUAUGAUAAAAGCAACAGUUAACGAAAGCAAACGGCAAAAUUGAGGAGAAAUUUUUUGUGGAUAAUUGUGGCAUAUCAAUAUGAUUUUUCUCACAAUCCUGCGUCUUUAUGAUGAGAUUGAUUUCAUAAUUUUAAUAUUAGAGGUUUAAGGAGUGUUAGUACAAUUAUUAGUUAUAUGGGAGGUCCAAAGCUUCCUUGUGUAUCACCUUAAUGGAAAAAUCACUGGCAUACAAAGAAUUUGUACGACUUCUGUUGAUUAUAAUCAAGAUAUUGAUAUAACAAUAAGACGUGAAUAUAUCGAUGCACAUACGUUCAGAUAGGUGCAAUAACUAUGCUAUCCAACUAUGAAUGUAUAGUAGGUUGUCCAUCUAUAGGUACUUUUAUUUUAGUAUCUUUAACUUGCUGUAUAUCAACGUAUUAAAAAAAAUGAUAGUAGUGACAGAAAACAACAGAGGUAUAUUAUAACUACGAAAGACAGGCAGGAUGGUCAAGCAGGCAGGGCAGGCAGUGAGUUAUUUCGUCUGCCAAUAUUUGAACAUGAGCCUAUGUGCUAUGGGCUGCAAUGCAGCUUCUAGAUGACAUGUUUCACGGGUAGAACUGGCGGUAAGUGACAGAUGUCAAAAAGAAGUUCUAUUCUUGGAGCAAGGAGACUCCCCCGCGUUUAAGACAUAUUUGACCAGUUUCGCCUGGGAUGUCACGCGGUGUCCUUUCACUCGAACCUCGUUUCCAGAUAUGGAUUCGCAACAACAGAAGCCAUAUCGACCCCAGAAUUCCUGUGUUUUUUUU